CGCUGGCGGCGUGCCUAAUACAUGCAAGUAGAACGCUGAGGAUUGGUGCUUGCACUAAUCCAAAGAGUUGCGAACGGGUGAGUAACGCGUAGGUAACCUACCUCAUAGCGGGGGAUAACUAUUGGAAACGAUAGCUAAUACCGCAUGAYACUAGAGUACACAUGUACUUAAGUUAAAAGGAGCAAAUGCUUCACUAUGAGAUGGACCUGCGUUGUAUUAGCUAGUUGGUGAGGUAACGGCUCACCAAGGCGACGAUACAUAGCCGACCUGAGAGGGUGAUCGGCCACACUGGGACUGAGACACGGCCCAGACUCCUACGGGAGGCAGCAGUAGGGAAUCUUCGGCAAUGGACGGAAGUCUGACCGAGCAACGCCGCGUGAGUGAAGAAGGUUUUCGGAUCGUAAAGCUCUGUUGUUAGAGAAGAACGGUAAUGGGAGUGGAAAAUCCAUUACGUGACGGUAACUAACCAGAAAAG
rnacentral:rRNA from 1 species